CAUGUGUAGCGGUGAAAUGCGUAGAUAUAUGGAGGANCACCAGUGGCGAAAGCGGCUCUCUGNUCUGUCACUGACGCUGAGGCUCGAAAGCGUGGGUAGCGAACAGGAUUAGAUACCCUGGUAGUCCACGCCGUAAACGAUGAGUGCUAGGUGUUAGGCCCUUUCCGGGGCUUAGUGCCGGAGCUAACGCAAUAAGCACUCCGCCUGGGGAGUACGACCGCAAGGUUGAAACUCAAAGGAAUUGACGGGGGCCCGUACAAGCGGUGGAGCAUGUGGUUUAAUUCGAAGCAACGCGAAGAACCUUACCAGGUCUUGACAUCCCGAUGCUAUUCUUAGAGAUAGGAAGUUACUUCGGUACAUCGGAGACAGGUGGUGCAUGGUUGUCGUCAGCUCGUGUCGUGAGAUGUUGGGUUAAGUCCCGCAACGAGCGCAACCCUUAUUGUUAGUUGCCAUCAUUAAGUUGGGCACUCUAGCGAGACUGCCGGUAAUAAACCGGAGGAAGGUGGGGAUGACGUCAAAUCAUCAUGCCCCUUAUGACCUGGGCUACACACGUGCUACAAUGGUCGGUACAACGAGUUGCGAGCCGGUGACGGCAAGCUAAUCUCUGAAAGCCGAUCUCAGUUCGGAUUGGAGGCUGCAACUCGCCUCCAUGAAGUCGGAAUCGCUAGUAAUCGCGGAUCAGCACGCCGCGGUGAAUACGUUCCCGGGCCUUGUACACACCGCCCGUCACACCACGAGAGUUUGUAACACCCGAAGUCGGUGAGGUAACCUUUUAGGGGCCAGCCG
rnacentral:rRNA from 1 species